GGAAAGCGAGGGCAGCAGGGCCGCCCCCGGGACCGGGCAUAUGAGGGAACGGCGAGCGGGACGCGAGGCCCCGAGCGGGGUGAAGGAAGAUGAUUCUUCCCCCCCAUCUUGACCGACCCCUGCCUUCGCCACCAAAAACGGACUCCGCUGGCUUCUGCUGGCCUGUCUCGCUCAAAGCACUCUACUGAGUACGAAAGCUCAAGUAACUCUCAUCUCCUGCCUGGUCCGCGCCAUUAUCCCCUUGAUGAGGAGCGUGAACGCGCAGCUGCACCCGGACACAGCGGCCACCUGAAUAACUAUUGCUCUCGAUUAAUGAUUGCUCCGAGAGGGCUGCCCUACCAUUUCUCACUUCUUUUCGUCUUUGAAUUGUUCUUAAGUGGCUUAACAGACUACAUCCGUUAACUUCUCGGAAGCCCUUUUGUAAAGUCAUUCUGAUCGUGCUGUUUGAUUCCGUUGCUUAGGUAAUAAGCACGCCUGGGUGGUUCUUGCCCCCUACUGGCUGACCGUCCCGCAUGUGAGCCAACCGAGAGCAGUUAAGGUUAAAGUUGGUGUACUCCAAGAAAAAGUAUGGAAGGGGAAAGGGGCAUAGCGAGG
rnacentral:lncRNA from 1 species